rnacentral:rRNA from 1 species
GGUCCUACGGGGCGCAGCAGUGAGGAAUAUUGGUCAAUGGGCGGAAGCCUGGACCAGCCAAGUCGCGUGAGGGAAUAAGGCCCUACGGGUCGUAAACCUCUUUUGCCGGGGAGCAAGGGCCGGGACGCGUCCCGGCCCGGAGAGUACCCGGAGAAAAGGCAUCGGCUAACUCCGUGCCAGCAGCCGCGGUAAUACGGAGGAUGCGAGCGUUAUCCGGAUUUAUUGGGUUUAAAGGGUGCGUAGGCGGGCUUUUAGGUCAGCGGGAAAAAUUCGGGGCUCAACCCCGUCCGGCCGUU